rnacentral:rRNA from 1 species
AACGAACGCUGGCGGCAUGCCUAACACAUGCAAGUCGAACGAGACCUUCGGGUCUUGUGGCGCACGGGUGCGUAACGCGUGGGAACCUGCCCUUAGGUUCGGUAUAACUCCCCGAAAGGGGUGCUAAUACCGGAUAAUGUCAUAGGACCAAAGAUUUAUCGCGUUUGGGUGGGCCCGCGUUGGAUUAGCUAGUUGGUAGGGUAAAAGCCUGCCAAGGCGACGAUGCAUAGCUGGUCGGAGAGGAUGAUCAGCCACGCUUGGACUGCGACACGGACCAGACUGCGACGGAGGGCAGGAGUGGGGAAUAUUAGACGAUGGGCGAUAGCCUGAUCCAGCAGUGCCGGGGGAGUGAUGAAGGCGUUAGGAUUGUAAUGCUCUUUUACCCGGGAUGAUAAUGACAGUACCGGGUGAAUAAGCACCGGCUAACUCCGUG